UUCCCCGUAAUUAAUACGCAGACAACUAUAUUCAUAUACAAGUGUAUUUUUUUUAUUUACAAAGUUAAAUAGCUUACCUGUAGCGUUUUUUCCACCACCUGUUUAUAGAGAAUUUCAAUAAAGAUGGCCCAAUCGCCGAGCAUUAAAAUCCUGUUGGCCGAGCAAAUGAAGUUGGGGGAGCAAAUACAGAGCACCAUCCGGAAUUAUAAAAAGGAUUCGG
rnacentral:sRNA from 1 species